GAUUAUAUUUUUAAAUGGGAUUAUAUUUUUAAAAAUGUAUUGAAAAUGUAUCCUUCUCUUAAAGAAGUUUUGCUUUUUACUAAUGAAAUGCUCAUUGCUUGAAAUAUUGAAAUGAUUGUGCCUAUUGCUUAAGUUUCGUUUUCAGGGUGGGGUUUUUUCCACAGAAGUAUGACAAGAGGUUUUUCUAGAGAAACGAAAGCAAAAAUGUAUUAGGGGAGGGGAAGGGAAGUUCUCUGUGUGUGCAGGCUGCUGGCUGCUUCUGACUGGCUGAGAUGAAAUCUGAUGAUGGGCAGGCGAACAAUGGAUUGGAGGCUACAAAGAAAAGGGGAGGAGGCAGCAAAACAAAACCAACUGUGAUAUUACUGAACGGCAAUACUGGACUGCCCGGUGUGCCUUUUACAUUGUGGCUGUUUUGUAUUCCUGAGCUCAGACAUUGUUGAUCUGAUUCUCUUUUAUUAAAUUCGAUUACUUGAUAAAGCUAAGUUCUCUGCGUCUACUUUCAAGCGAAUCCUGAACGUGGGGAGGGGAAAAUCUAUUUCCUACAAUUUGGAGGGGGCACCCGGAUUCGCUCAGACGCUUCGUCGAGUUGGAGGACGAUCCCAAAUCAACCUCUCUGCGCAGAGCUUCUAAUAAGAAAAAUUGGCCAACAGAGAGUGAGACAGCCAGGCCUGCAGAAAACACAACGCUGUGGGUGAGAUUGAAACAACACAAACGAAAAUGGUCUAGUCCCAGGUGGUCUGAACCGUUACGAGUCACGGCUAGGACAUCCCAUUGUGUGCAAUUAGCAGGUAAAGGCACAACAUGGUAUCAUUUGUCUGCUUGUAUGUUCUGUCCUUCUCCAAAUAGGACUUUGGCGGAUGUCAGAGUUGACCUCAGGAGAGGUCAAAGAGAGGGAGAAGGAGAAGGAGACACUGAGGAGCCUGAGGAGCCAGAAAGAGAGGGAGAAGGCGGGGAAAGAAGCGGACAAAUAGAAACAGCCCCAGCCCCCAGAACACAGCUAAGCGCAACCCCUGUUUUUAAAAUCUUGCAACGAACUGGAGACUUGCUCCAGACGCCAGAACACAUUCCCAUUGCACAUUGUAUAAGUGCUGAUUAUGCACUGGGGGCUGGGGUAGCUAAACAAAUUAGAGACAAAUACGGUGUAGAAGAAUUGAACACUUCAGUCGCCCAACCAGGGGAUUGUAUCAAAACUACACACGGUCCACGACAAAUUUACCAUUUGGUGACCAAAUGGUGGUGUAGGGACCUACCCACCUACGAGCAUCUCGAGGCUAGUCUGAUAAAAUUGUGUUACCAGUGUAAGAAGGAUCAAAACAAAAUAUUGGCUAUACCAAAAUUAGGGUGUGGAUUAGACAAACUAGACUACAUCAAAGUAAAAGAAAUCAUUGAGAAAGUAUUUAAAGAGGGCCACAUUCAGAUAAUUCUCCUAACAAAAUGAAUAUAAACAAGAUGGUGGUGGCCUGGGGAGCAAUGUUGGUGAUAAUCCUAUGGGUAAUCUGUCAUAUGAAAGUCAGAGGGACAACAAAGAAAAAACGUAGUGUAAAAGAAGGGGGGGGAACAGGGGUGCGUAUUACCUUAGAAAGGGAAGAGGGAAAGGAUGGGAUGUGGCAGUUUGAUCUCUGUCAAGUAAUAGAUUGCGGGAGGGAUCAAUUGACAUGGAGGGGAUAUGAUGUUUAUGGGUGUUUAUGGGUCUCAACUGAGAGAACCCCGAAUGGUCCCUGGUGUCACACCUGGCAUGAUGUAAAUUGGAAGACAGCCCCAGGGUUCACAAAAAAUCUGUUAAAAAAUAGUCCUCUAGCCAAAACAGACAGCAUCCAAAAUCGACUUAAGUUGUUUAGAGGAUACCAGCAUAGUUGGGGAGGGGGAUGACGUGAUGGAGGAAGUAGAGGAGGAAUAUGACUUAUAAAUGUUGUUUGUUUUUGUUUUUUUUUUUUUUUUCUCCCAAUAACUGUGCUUCUUUGCAGAUGCUGAUUCAUCACAAGUUAUGUGUUUUUUAGAUAUUGAUGUUUGAGAAAUUUGCUGUUUGAAAAUGUGUUAAGAUUUAAAUUUUGAUUACUGAAAUGUUUGUAGUCUAGAUAAUUUCAGUGUGAUUGACUCAGCUGACAUGUUGUGGUUGCCCAAACGUCAAUUAGGGGAUCGACUGGGUGCCUUUCCCCACAGGGGUUUUCGGCCCAGUCCAGCCUGAGCACACUGGUUUGUAGGGAAUGUUAUUUUUUUAUUAUUACGUUUUAAGUACUUGUCUUUCUAGUAGUCUGAUAUGAUGUGUCAGGUGAACAUGUGGUGGCUGCCCAUAAGCUAACUAGGGGGCCGCUUGGGUGUCUUUCCUCACAGAGGUUUUCGACCCAAGCUCAUCUGGACAUAUUGGACCAAGAAUUCUGAGAUUUUUUAAGUGUUUAUUAAAGUGGUGUGAUCUCUUACGAGAUCAAGAGAGGGAAUUGAGGGAUUAUAUUUUUAAAUGGGAUUAUAUUUUUAAAAAUGUAUUGAAAAUGUAUCCUUCUCUUAAAGAAGUUUUGCUUUUUACUAAUGAAAUGCUCAUUGCUUGAAAUAUUGAAAUGAUUGUGCCUAUUGCUUAAGUUUCGUUUUCAGGGUGGGGUUUUUUCCACAGAAGUAUGACAAGAGGUUUUUCUAGAGAAACGAAAGCAAAAAUGUAUUAGGGGAGGGGAAGGGAAGUUCUCUGUGUGUGCAGGCUGCUGGCUGCUUCUGACUGGCUGAGAUGAAAUCUGAUGAUGGGCAGGCGAACAAUGGAUUGGAGGCUACAAAGAAAAGGGGAGGAGGCAGCAAAACAAAACCAACUGUGAUAUUACUGAACGGCAAUACUGGACUGCCCGGUGUGCCUUUUACAUUGUGGCUGUUUUGUAUUCCUGAGCUCAGACAUUGUUGAUCUGAUUCUCUUUUAUUAAAUUCGAUUACUUGAUAAA